GCCUCCGUGGCGCAAUCGGCUAGCGCGUUCGGCUGUUAACCGAAAGGUUGGUGGUUCGAGCCCACCCGGGAGCG
rnacentral:tRNA from 1 species